rnacentral:lncRNA from 1 species
UUUCUAGAACUUCAUUCACUUUAUUGGCUGCUGCAGCUAACAUGGUUCACUCCACUGUCCAGGGAGAUGCAAAGCGAGACAGAGCCUGCUCUGGAUCGGUGAGUUUAUGAUCUUCUUAAGGUCAGAUAGGAAGAAAAAACUCCUUCACAGUCUUAUUUCUGAUGCUCAUUUUCUUUCUUGUGAACUCAUCUUAAUCUGGGUUUAAUAGGAAAACUCCAUACAAUGGAUUUUUUGUCGUGCAGCUUCACAUACCCCCCCCCCCCCCGUUUCUGGAUUUGACAGAUUCUCUAAUCAGCUUUACAAUCAAUGUUAAAUGACAAGAUCGUUUCUCCCACCGUCUUUCAAUUCCCUUUCAUUUCCUUGCCUUUAUUAUCUGUAAUGCGUAUCAGAGAUGUCCUUCAGUCAAACCACAGCCUGCUUAUAGCCUGCCAUUAUUGACUUAUAACAGAAAAUGAAGGAAACUGCAUCUGACAGGCCCCUCCGUUAAAGAAAAAAAAAUCCAUCCCACUGCUGUCACAGUUGAGUGAAAGAUGAUUCUGCUGCCUCACUCCUCCAGAUCUGUGACCUCCUCUGCGGCUGUGGUGAAAGAAGAGAAGCGAGUCGUGACGCCUGAACCCAAAAAGGGGCUUGUUUUGGUGAAGGAGUAUGUGAAUGUUUCGGAGAUGCAGAAUUCCAGAGACCAAAGCAACGGGUAAGAAUUCUUAAUAUUUAAAAGCGAAUUAAAAUUUUUCCCUUGUCUUACUUUUUUUUUAUUUACACUUUUUUUUGUUUGUUUUUACUAUAGAGAUUCUGAUUAUUUGACUUCAAGCUCUGCCACUUACUCGUACAGCAGUCCAUCCAAUUACAGCAGAGUGUCUCAGUCAUCUGCCUGCACGUACUGUGGCGAGCAGGUGGGCAACGAUGCGAAGAUCAGCAUUGAUCACCUCAACAUCCACUGCCACUCUUCCUGCUUUAAGGUAACCUGUUUUACUUUGAUACCUUUAGUCAUUCCACUUUUUGAAUCCUUGUCACCUCACCUCACCUCCUAAAUACUUCUGCUUAUGAUUUACCUCCAAGCACCAAGGAUUUUUUUCCCCCCUAACAUUGUCUUUGUGACUUUUCAGUGCGGUGAGUGUAGCAAACCC